GCGCCGGUAGUCUAGCCUGGGAGGAUACCGGCCUCCCAAGCCGGUGAACCCGGGUUCAAAUCCCGGCCGGCGCA
rnacentral:tRNA from 1 species